GGGAGGGCAGAGAUGGGAGGACUGUAAUGAACAACAGCAGAGCAAUGAAAUAAGCCCAUGGACAUCAUCAGUCUUCAGAAUCAUCCAAGUGAAACAAAACCUGAAGCCCUUUAAAUAAGUGGUAUGGGAUCAAAAUCCGGACCCCUUUAAAUAGGCUGUUCGGUGCCAGAUCUCAAGCCAGCCAGAAGUGCACACUGUACCAGCAUCAACUGGAGCCUGAUCGUUUUCACCUGGCAGCACGGCACAGCAAAUGGCCAUCACCCCUCUCCUGCCUUGCACUGGCACCAGGGUUUUUUCUCUUCUGGAAGUGAAGGCAGAACAGUGCGAGGAGCUUGAUGGCUACCACAGCCAACCCAGGGUUACCCUUCUGGAGGAAGAGCAAUUGUGCAUAUCUGCAUCCAGGGUCUUCCAGGUGAUCACUACACAGAAGCUCGUUCAAGGCUUCUGAAGAGCAUUGGUGAAACAGAAGUGUGCUGACUUAAGGAACGGCGCCAACGCUGCAUCUGCCUUUGGCAGGAAAAGGAAAAGGCUGGACAAGAACAAACUUGCUGCUCCUGGUGUUGCCUGAGGAGGAAGAAGGUGGUCAAGGC
rnacentral:lncRNA from 1 species